UCUGAUCUUGAGGGAAUGGCUUCUUGCAGAGCUGGGCUCAGCCUGCAGCCCUGCUCUUGGAGUGACUGCAGAAGCAGCCUGGUCCCUGGCUGUCCAGGAAGAGGGAGUGCAGCCCAAGAGGGUGAGUGGCAGACAGACGGUCCCCAGGAGACACGGCUCCAAGAGCAAAGACAGGAGGCAAGCUCAGCCCCACAGAGGCCGGGCCGGAGGACAGCGGGGUGGGAGGGCAGGACGUACCGCCGCCGGUCAGCCCACAUCCGGGGAGGGGGCUCUGCUUCGACUUGCACGCCUUUCUGGAAUCCGAGCUGGCGCCUCCCUCCACGAACGCCGGGGCGAUGGGGCUUUUCUCUCCGGCAGCAGGUGCCUGGCAGCUGCCCGUGGAUGCCAGCCCCGUGAACUGGCCUGGGCGGAAGUGCCUGUCGGAGUGGUGAUUGCGAGGAUCUCAUGUAGGUGGCGUCCUUCCAGAAGAACAGAAUGGAAGGUGGGGCUGUGGAUGAGAAUAGGAGCCAGGGACCUAAGAGAACAGAAGGGCAGGAAGGACUCAAAUGGAGGAGAGGAUCCAGGUGAACCCAGUGGACGGUGAACAGCUGGGUUGAGGGGGUGUCUGUUGUGCCAGCAUUCCAGGGCUGCUCUCUGUGCCAGGCACGGGGCGGGGGCCAGAGAGUGUGGUGCGAGCGGGCCGGCCUGGCCUUCCCCAGCCCUCAGGCAGCGCACAGGACGGUGAGCUGGAGGGGUGUGCAGGAGACACAGUCCUGCGGCUUCCCCAGCCCAUCCGCGGUGGCCUUUGGCACCUCCUAGCUCUCGGCCGCUGCCCGCUCUGUCUCCGCCUGUAGGAGUGAGCGCCUGUGCUGUCUCCCUGCCCCUCCCAGCCGCCCGGCACUGAGUCUCGUGGCCGUCAAGGCUGAGGCGGAAGAGUGGCUGGCACGGGGCAGGGAGCAGCCAGGGCCCUGGCCCCAGGGUGAGAGCUGACGUCUGUCCGGGAGCAU